rnacentral:sRNA from 1 species
AGAUGAAGCCCCGCGCUCCCCAGAGCCCAGCCCUGGUCACCGCGUGCUGUGUGGGUGCCUGUGCCAGGAUCAGCUGGCUGGACGGCUAUGGCCCCACACCUGCAGGCCACGUACCUGGGAGAGUGUGGGCCUUCAGAGCCUUCUGGCUCCCAGCCCCACAGAGGAAUUACGGUCCCGUGUCCCUCACAAGGACCCUUGCAGUGGGAGCAGUGCAUCGGCACAGAGCAGGACACAGGGGAGCCGGGCUGAGGCUGCGGGUCCUUUGUGGCCGCCAGGUGCUCACACGUGCCUCGGUGGGGAUCUGGCAGCCAGAUUUGGGGUGAAGAUUUGAUGAUGUGGGUAUCCCUAGCUGGUCCCACAGUGACGAUGGGUGUUGCGUUGUGAGCAUGUAAAACAGCAGUGACGUCUGAGGGUCCCUGGACGUCUUUCACACCCAGUCUCAAAGCGGAGCCUUUCCAGGCAGAGCAGCAGCUGCCGCCACUGGAUUGACAGCCCCAGAGCAGCGGGAUCAGGCCAUGAGGACGAGGAGCCUAGGGGCCUAGGGCCUGCUUCUCAGAGCAUCACGGGGCCCACCAAGAAGUGCCCCCUGGGGAGGUAACGGCGUCUUCCAGAAAUGCCGCCGCCCACAAAGAGGACUGGCCUGUGCCGGAAGCUGGAGAUGGUGGGGUUCGAUUGGCACCUGCUGCGGCGAGUCCUUUGCACAUGUUGGCAACACACGCGUCCGCAUCGGCCUCCCUGCCCACAAAGCGCCACAAUGGUGACCAGCCGGAGCAGCCGGAGCUGAAGCGGAUCAAGACAGAAGACGGCGAGAGCAUUGUCAUUGCCCUGAGUGUGGACACGCCACCGGCAGCCGUAAGGGAAAAGGGUGUCCAGAACUAGCGACUGGGAGAGCUUUUCUUUAACAAUAUCAACUGUGGUGCCAAAAGGAGACGUGGCCUCCCGCCAGCACUCGGGGGUGCAGGGCCCUGUGGUUGGACUUCACCUCUCAGCACUGAAAACAGAAAACCCAGGUGGCCUUAACACUCCUUAGUUUAAAGACAGAAGUCACACUUGAACAAAACCCACACACAACAAAACCUGAUUUGGGAGACAGUGUCUCCACUGAGCACCUGCUGGGCUGAGCUUUUACCUACACGUGAAACUGUCCUCCCGCGAGGACCAGGCAUCGCUGUGUGAGGACGGCACAGCCAGCGCCUGCCGUGAGUGGGUCUCCCAGGACUAGGCCUCAGGACACGGGGGGUGCCGUCCCCGCCGCCCUCACAGGACCCACCAGGCAGCGGAGACGUGGAAUUAGAGUAUUUUGAGGUGUCCUUUCUUUACAAAAUAAUGGGGUCUUGGGCAUUUCACAUCACUCCAUUUCUACUCAGACUUUCGGAAUCACACAGGCCCUUUCCGUGGAUUUCAUCUGGGGAAAAGAAACAACGUAGUUUUGUUUUUGUUUUCAGCCUAUGGAAUGAUUUCGUCUGUCUUGUUAAAGUUCAGAUGAAGCUACUCUGGCAUCUGCACAUUUCCGUGUUACAGCAGCUGCCUGAUGAAUUUUAUCCACCUCCAUUUCAGCGUGUGGCUCGCGUGGACAGGUGGACGGACACUGUGGCCGCAUGGAACCUUGAGAACCCAGGGAGGAGCCGGUGCCAGGAAGGAACUGCCGGGACUCACCGAGCUGCACUUAACUGUUCUCUUUCUGGCUAUUUUUUGUUUCUUUGUGUUGACUUUGUCCCUGGCAAAAUUUUCCACUCUGAGUAAAACAAGUCUCCUAAGUAUUGUGUAUGUUU